rfam:Neotoma lepida isolate 417 scaffold_3649, whole genome shotgun sequence.
GCAAUACUCAAACUGUGGGGACACUUUUUAUUCCUUGGAAGAAGUGCCGCCAAGUUUUGAGUGUUGC